rnacentral:rRNA from 1 species
GACGAACGCUGGCGGCGUGCUUAACACAUGCAAGUCGAACGGAAAGGCCCUGCUUUUGUGGGGUGCUCGAGUGGCGAACGGGUGAGUAACACGUGAGUAACCUGCCCUUGACUUUGGGAUAACUUCAGGAAACUGGGGCUAAUACCGGAUAGGAGCUCCUGCUGCAUGGUGGGGGUUGGAAAGUUUCGGCGGUUGGGGAUGGACUCGCGGCUUAUCAGCUUGUUGGUGUGGUAGUGGCUUACCAAGGCUUUGACGGGUAGCCGGCCUGAGAGGGUGACCGGCCACAUUGGGACUGAGAUGCGACCCAGACUCCUACGGGAGGCAGCAGUGGGGAAUAUUGCACAAUGGGCGGAAGCCUGAUGCAGCAACGCCGCGUGCGGGAUGACGGCAUGCGGGUUGUAAACCACUUUCGCCUGUGACGAAGCGUGAGUGACGGUAAUGGGUAAAGAAGCACCGGCUAACUACGUG